CGAUAGCACGCACGAAAAAAAUCUGGCGAAAACCCACGUCGUCCUCCACCUUCUCCCGACCCAAUCUCCAUCUCCAGAACCAGACCUCUCUCCCAAUCAACUACCUCGCGCCCCUCCCUGGCUCCCUCCCGUGAGUCCGCGACCACCCAACGACGGCCCACCUCUCCCGCAGCAACCACAGCACCGGCCACCCACCCAUCUCCUCCUCCUCUCACUCGCGCCGUAGCACCAUGCGCCGCACCUGCCGCGGCAAAGGAGGGCCAGCCGCCGCCACCCCAGAACGUUGUGUAUGAGCAGGCACGGCACCGCCGCCGCCUCCCUAGGUCGCGACCUGUAGCGGUUCGGCUACUCCGGCACAGCCAUCGCGCGAGCCAAGCGAGGAGGACGCUUUGAAUCUGGGACCUGCAGUAUUGAAUAGAGGAAAGUUACAUCUACAGUUGGUCCGCGAGCAUGGCGAGCCGACAACGACGAUGAAAUAAUGCAUUGGCCCAUUGCCUGAUGAAGAAGAUGAGAGAAGUGAAGAUUAUGUACGCUGAAAUAUUACAGAUCAUGCUUAGCACCUUAGCAUAUAUCCAAAGUCCAAACUCGGAUGGUACACAAGGAUUUCUGUAUGCGGAGGUUAGCUUCAGCAGAACAAUUAUAUUGAUGACCACGAUGAUGAGCUGGAGAAGCGAUGCACAGGGUAACCAUCCUGCCACCACCAGGGAGCUCUUGGUUGCACUGCAAUCAGCGAGGCCUUGUCAACUCGCUGAUGCCACUUAACCUCUAUGGCCUCUCAUUGCUCAAGAUGGAUAGUUUUGUGCAGGUUUGGCCUCAACCACUUCUUCCUGUCCUACUGCUACAUGGACCAUGACACUCAGUUCUAGCAAAACUAUUGUAAAGUUGCAGGCCAGACCUGUGAAAUCCGAGGCUUGUCACAGGAUGGUGUUCAUGGUCUAUAAGCUUUUGAGAUGUUGUCUUGGCUCCUCCUUUACAAACAACAUUUAUGAUGAUAUGCCUCUAAGGGUUGUAGUUAAGAGUUGAUGUUCCAUGCUAUUCUUUGUUCCUUGUGCUGGUAAUUGAGAGGAGGGAGAGGGAGAGAGAGAUGGAGGGACAUCAAAGAGGAGUGUGGUAACCACAUAGGAAGACACGGUUGUGUUGCAGCCAGUAGAGACGUGGUUUGUGUGCAAGUCGAUGCAAACCUGCUGUUGUGAUGGUUGGGGAGCCGAGGUAGCAGCAAGCAGUGCCUUUACGCUGGAUCAUGCAGUCUGGUUGUGGGUGGCCAGAGCCCAUGGACCUGUCUUCCCCACCGGGUGUUUACUUUCCUUCAGUGAAUUGAAAGCAAGAAAAGAAAAACAUGAGGAAUGUUUGUUUGUCCAUGUUGCGCGAUCCUAAUCAUGUUACUUUGUGAAAAAAACAAAACACCAUGUCACUGUAAUGCUUUAAAUAUUUUAUCUUUUAGUUGUUUAUUUUAGAACAAACCUUACUUCAGCAGGGUGUUUGAAGGUGAGACAUCCUUGAUGAUCGCCGUUUUCUUUAGAUCAUUAUCAUCCUAUUUUAAGUGAAUACAUCAGAGUUGUGUUUAACUAUGCUACAUUUUUUCUUUAUGUGACCUAUAUUUUGUUCUGCUUGAAUUUCUAUCAAGGGACGGAGUUUGGUUUCAUGCAUCUUGCAACAAAGCUUCCCGUUGGGCGUCCCGCUUCACAUUUUGCAAAGGUGCUUCCAUGGUUUCUCCAGUCCCUCAAGCGCAGCAUAACCUGCUUGCAUGAGUUUUUCCCUGCUGCUCGCGCUGCCCCUAUGUACAACAACACUGUUCUGAUGAUCUCUCCUGCUGACACUGAUCUCCCAUCUCCUCAUCUUAUGCGCCAUCUCUGUGUUGGUUGAUCAGUGGCACUAGACGUUGAUGCUCACGCCGUUGUCAGAAAUGCACUGAGCUACUCAACCUAGUCUAUUAAUGAGUGGAAAAGCCAAGUUAGUGCAUGUUCAAGUUCUCCACUUGCAUUAAUAAGUGGGUGGCAGUUCAAGGUUUUAAUUUCUAUCACACUUUGUGACACUUCCUUCGGAUUUCCUUUGAUGAAUUACCUUUUCACUCUGAGGUGUGACUGGUCACUCACUGUCAGGACCGACAAAGUGCAUACUGAAGAUGACGAGGGGAUGGGCUAGACCAAUGUGUUUUAGACGUCAGAAUCAGAAUCGUGUGGGAGUUGUACAUGUGCUUGCGCGUGUGUGUGAGACCAAUGUGUUUUGGACGUCAGAAUCAUAAUCGUGUGGGAGUUGUACAUGUGCUUGCUUGCGUGCGUGCGUUGCGGGUGUGUGUGUAUGUUUAGAGUGUAGAUUCACUCAUUUUGCUCCGCCCGUAGCCCAUAUUGAAAUCUCUAAAAAAGAGUUGUGUUUAGGAACGGAGAGAGUAAUUUUCAAUCCCACCCGCCCUUUCUCAGAACUCUCCUGUUCUUCCCUAUAUACUUCCAAAUUUCUUGUCAUCCUCGUGUGUUCUGAUCCUCCCUAAACAUGAGUUAGCUCAACAGUUGGUAUAAUUAAAAGCUUUAUUUUGGUAUGAA